rnacentral:lncRNA from 10 species
UUCCUGCAGCUCUCUACACAGUGAAUCACAGUGAGACACUGGCAGCAGGCACCACGGAAGGGACCCUCAAAUCUGAAGGCUCAAGGUCCUGGGAAAAGAUGAAGUGGAGCAUGCCUCUUGUUUCCUCCUAUUAGAUGCUGAGUGUUGGAAGUUCUUCCUAGGAUUCACAAAGAAACUCCUGCUCUUCUUCCACAUACUUUUUCCUGGGAAAGAAAACUUGUUUCACUGGCAGAAAAGAUCCCCACUGUUAAAGUGAGAGAUGAGGUUUUGCCAUGUUACCCAGGCUGGUCUUCAACUCCUGGACUCAAGCGAUCCACCUGCCUCGGCCUCCUAAAGUGCUGGGAUUUCAGGUGUGAGCCACUGUGCCCAGCCCGAAGAAGCUUUAUCUGAUCUGAACCUGAUUUAGAUAAGGAGGUCCUGGACUUUGUUCCAAUGCUGCAGAGAGUGAGACUUCUGUGGGGAGAGGAGUGUCCUUUGCAUUUGGGAAAGAUGUGAACUACUGUGGCCAGAGGGUGAACUAUGGUAGAUUGCUUCUAAAGAUGGGAGCAGCAAUGUUUCUUCCCAAGCAACAUUCUCCUUUGAAAUGUGACUUUGCCACCCAUCGCAUCAAGAGGGUCUUAGAUACAUGAUGGCACUGUUGGCUUCCUGAAGACCUCUUCAUCCUGCAGAAGGUGCAACUCCACAGCAUCCUGAGAGGUUGGACACAAGGCUUGGAAAGAAUGAAUGGUGCCUCUCGGUGAAUUACUACAACCUGAAUCCUGUGACCCCACCUGUGAUGGCCCAAUGUUAUUGAAAUUACUGACUCCAUCCACUUAGCAAGUGGUAAAUACUCUGCAGGCAUAGAUUUGACUAAUGUGUUCUGUUCAGCGCCUAUUUCAACAGAUCUCAGCUGCAGGUUGCUUUCACCCCCGAAGGGACACAAUAGACCGUUAUCUGGCUACCACGGGGUACCUCGACAGUUCUGCCACCAUACACAAUCUUUGCAGGCAGGAUUUGAACUGCAUCUGAC